AUUGUAGCAGCUGGCUCAGAGUCAAGACAUCAACACAUGAAUCAGACAGGAUGAGAGGAGGAUAAGGCUAAAGACAGAGGCUCCAGCUACCUUGGUGACAAGGAAUGGAGGAGAAAAGGAACAGGAAAUUUUAAUAAGAUUAGGAGGGCUUGCUUUUCUGCCAAGUGAGCCGCUUUCACAGGAGCGAUAAAUUGGAAAUGUUAUCUGGCUUGAUAUGCCAGUUUUUCUGAGAAAAUCACUCUGCCAGUGGUGACAGAAUGGAAGAGCUGAAAACAUCUUCUUUUUUCAAAGUCAUAUGUCACGAACCAAGGAGACUCCAAAAAAUAAAUUAUGGAAGAUUAUGACCACUGCUGCCAAGGAUACAGUGAAAUAGAGUUUGUGGCAUCUGGUUUUAACUCCAAUAUGUAAAGAGCUUGGAAGCCAUCUUUCCUUCCACCACAACAAGAAAACAGCUGAACUGAAAAUCAAUGACUUUUCUUAGAUCCAUUAAAGAAUUGAGAUUGCAGGACACACUACCACCCUGAAAACUGGAGAGAGGAAAAAUACAGAGAGGAAGCAGAUCAGCUUACCUGAAGCAGAGGCCGCUGGAAUCUGUGACAGGUCCGAGGAAGUUCCUGAGAUAACUUUGUGAGUGGUCCACUAUUUCUGCAUUUCACAGCAUUGCUAUACUCCAAACUUUGUUCUACUCAUUGUUCAACUCAAUGCCUUGAACCUGGCAUAUAAUAGAUGCUGAAUACAUGAGUUAUAAUUGAAAACAAUGUUGAUUAUUCUUUUACAACUAAACUCUAGCCAUUUACAGAUUUUAAAUAAAGUGAUCCAUAACAU
ensembl:lncRNA novel transcript